rnacentral:rRNA from 1 species
CUGUCGAACUUGAGUGCAGGAGAGGAGAGCGGAAUUCCCAGUUGUAGCGGUGAAAUGCGUAGAUAUUGGGAGGAACACCGGUGGCGAAAGCGGCUCUCUGGACUGUUACUGACGCUGAGGCGCGAAAGCUAAGGGAGCAAACGGGAUUAGAUACCCGGGUAGUCCUACCGGUAAACGAUGGGCACUAGGUGUGGGAGGCAUCGACCCCUUCUGUGCCGUAGCUAACGCAUUAAGUGCCCCGCCUGGGGAGUACGACCGCAAGGUUGAAACUCAAAGGAAUUGACGGGGGCCCGCACAAGCGGUGGAGCAUGUGGUUUAAUUCGAUGCAACGCGAAGAACCUUACCGGGGUUUGACAUGUACAGGACAGGUGUAGAAAUACACCCUCCCUUCGGGGUCUGUACACAGGUGCUGCAUGGCUGUCGUCAGCUCGUGUCGUGAGAUGUUGGGUUAAGUCCCGCAACGAGCGCAACCCUCGUGCCUAGUUGCCAGCGGGUAAUGCCGGGCACUCUAGGGAGACUGCCGGUGGUAAGCCGGAGGAAGGUGGGGAUGACGUCAAGUCCUCAUGGCCCUUACGCCCCGGGCUACACACGUGCUACAAUGGCUGGUACAAUAGGUUGCAAUGCCGCGAGGUGGAGCCAAUCCUAAAAAGCCAGUCUCAGUUCGGAUCGGAGUCUGCAACUCGACUCCGUGAAGUCGGAAUCGCUAGUAAUCGCGGAUCAGCAAGCCGCGGUGAUACGUUCCCGGGCCUUGUACACACCGCCCGUCAAACCACGAAAGUCAGCAGUACCCGAAGUC